rnacentral:misc_RNA from 1 species
CCGAGAGUGAGAAAGAAGAAAAACGGGAAUAUAUCAAAAGAGAGUGUGUAAGAUCUAAGACUGAAGAGUAAAGAGGGAGCUGACCAUUUGAUCAGAAGAUGGGCUGCUCGUUCUCCGGCUUGAAUGCUCUAUACGACGCCGUUAAUGGUGGUGGCGAUGUUUGGAUCAAUGAGAAUCGAUUCAAAAUUGUCAGGCAGCUUGGCGAGGGUGGUUUCGCUUACGUUUUCCUCGUCAAGGAGGUGAUAUCUGACCCUUCUAAUCCUGGCGUUUCCAAGAAAUUUAAGGAUUCUUCUCAUAUAUCUGAUGAUGGAACUUAUGCCAUGAAGAAGGUUCUUAUUCAGAACAGCGAACAGUUGGCGUUGGUUAAAGAGGAGAUCCGUGUUUCAUCUUUAUUUACUCAUCCCAAUCUGCUUCCUCUCCUUGAUCAUGCUAUCAUUGCAGUCAAGGCCGGUCCAGAUCAGUCCUGGAAGCAUGAAGCUUACUUGUUGUUUCCGGUACAUUUGGAUGGGACAUUACUAGAUAAUGCCACAGGCAUGAAAGCUAAGAAAGAAUUCUUUUCCACUUCAGAUGUUCUUCAAUAUUUCGUCAGCUUUG